UUUUCAAAUCAAAGCAUAAGAUAAAAUAAGAGGAACUUUAUUAAUCUCACGUGUGAGAAACUGCAUGUAACAACAGCUCGAUUUACAGGAAGGUACAAGUUGGGGGAUAAAGGUCCAAAAAGAGACUUCAGGACCGUAGUCUUCCGGCAUAAUAAAUAGAAUACAAUAUAAAAGAAAAAUAUGGAAAAAUAACAGCAAUUGUAGUACAACUAAAAAUAUGAGCUAUGAAUAUUUACAAAAAGAAGAUAAAAUAGUGGUAAAGUGUCGUAAAGUGUAUGAAGUGUAUGAAGUUUAGCAAUGCUAAUAA